GUCUUUUUGAAAAUUAAUAAAAAGUCUGACCUGCCCAGUGAUUAAUUUAACGGCCGCGGUAUAUUGACCGUGCAAAGGUAGCAUAAUCAUUAGUCUUUUAAAAGAGGGCUGGAAUGAAAGGUUUGACGAAGUAUUAACUGUCUCAUCUUAUUUGAAAUUAGAAUUUAACUUUUUAGUCAAAAGGCUUAAAUUUUAUUGGAAGACGAUAAGACCCUAUAGAGUUUUAUAUUAUAUGUUUUGAUUAUUUAUAUAUAAUUUAUGAUUGAAAUAUGUGGUAUUUUGUUGGGGUGACAAGAAAAUAAAUUUAACUUUUUUAUUUAUAUAACAUUAAUAUAUGACUACUUGAUCCAUUAUUAUUGAUUAUUAGAUUAAAUUACCUUAGGGAUAACAGCGUAAUCCUCCCCCAGAGUUCAUAUUUACGGGUAGGGCUUGCGACCUCGAUGUUGGAUUAAGAUAAUAACUAGGUGUAGCCGCUUAGGUUAUAGGUCUGUUCGACCUUUAAAUUCUU
rnacentral:rRNA from 1 species